rnacentral:rRNA from 1 species
GCAAGUCGAGCGAGACCUUCGGGUCUAGCGGCGGACGGGUUAGUAACGCGUGGGAACGUACCCUUUUCUACGGAAUAGCCUUUGGAAACGAAGAGUAAUACCGUAUACGCCCUUCGGGGGAAAGAUUUAUCGGAUUUGGAUCGGCCCGCGUUAGAUUAGAUAGUUGGUGGGGUAAUGGCCUACCAAGUCUACGAUCUAUAGCUGGUUUUAGAGGAUGAUC